GUCCAAUGCUGCAAUUCUCCAUCUAAGUUCUUUCAUUCUAUUUCUUCUUAUGUCUUUUCUUUAUUUAAUAAACUUGAUUUUAAAACUCAUCAUGUGUGAGUAGUUCUUUGUUCUAGGGUUAGGGAUGUAGCACUCUCAAUUUAAUUAUGGAUCUUAUUUGAUUUUAUUUAAUAUAUUAGGUGUUGGUACCCACCUUAGUAUUAAUUCUAGAUAUUAAAUGAAUGACUGAAAUGUGAAGAUUAAUAUUGAAAAAUCAAGAUUUUGAACUUAGGAUUCUUG
rnacentral:misc_RNA from 1 species